CCGGUGACAAACCGGAGGAAGGUGGGGAUGACGUCAAGUCAGCAUGCCCCUUACGUCCUGGGCUACACACGUACUACAAUGCGACGUACAAAGGGCAGCGAACGAGCGAUGGGAAGCUAAUCCCAUAAACCGGGUCUCAGUUCGGAUCGCAGGCUGCAACUCGCUGCGUGAAGCGGGAAUCGCUAGUA
rnacentral:rRNA from 1 species